GAUGAACGCUGGCGGCGUGCCUAAUACAUGCAAGUCGAGCGAACGGACGAGAAGCUUGCUUCUCUGAUGUUAGCGGCGGACGGGUGAGUAACACGUGGAUAACCUACCUAUAAGACUGGGAUAACUUCGGGAAACCGUAGCUAAUACCGGAUAAUAUUUUGAACCGCAUGGUUCAAAAGUGAAAGACGGUCUUGCUGUCACUUAUAGAUGGAUCCGCGCUGCAUUAGCUAGUUGGUAAGGUAACGGCUUACCAAGGCAACGAUGCAUAGCCGACCUGAGAGGGUGAUCGGCCACACUGGAGCUGAGACACGGUCCAGACUCCUACGGGAGGCAGCAGUAGGGAAUCUUCCGCAAUGGGUGAAAGCCUGACGGAGCAACGCCGCGUGAGUGAUGAAGGUCUUCGGAUCGUAAAACUCUGUUAUUAGGGAAGAACAUAUGUGUAAGUAACUGUGCACAUCUUGACGGUACCUAAUCAGAAAGCCACGGCUAACUACGUG
rnacentral:rRNA from 1 species